AAACAAAUCUCACACUUGUGAGGUUUUUCUCCAUUGUGCACUCUCAAAUGUACUUUCAAAUUAUGUGCUUGAACAAAUUGCUUGAAACAAAUUUCACACUUGUAAGGUUUUUCUCCAUUGUGCACUCUCAAAUGUACUUUCAAAUUAUGUGCUUGAACAAAUUGCUUGAAACAAAUUUCACACUUGUAAGGUUUUUCUCCAUUGUGCACUCUCAAAUGUACUUUCAAAUUAUGUGCUUGAACAAAUUGCUUGAAACAAAUUUCACACUUGUAAGGUUUUUCUCCUGUAUGUGUUUUCACAUGUCUUUUCAAAACCCCCGAG